UGGGUAGUCCGCACGAGCGCAACCCUAUCCUUAUUUGCCAGCACGUAAUGGUGGGAACUCUAGGGAGACUGCCGGUGAUAAACCGGAGGAAGGUGGGGACGACGUCAAGUCAUCAUGGCCCUUACGAGUAGGGCUACACACGUGCUACAAUGGCGUAUACAGAGGGUUGCAAAGCCGCGAGGUGGAGCUAAUCUCACAAAGUACGUCGUAGUCCGGAUCGGAGUCUGCAACUCGACUCCGUGAAGUCGGAAUCGCUAGUAAUCGUGGAUCAGAAUGCCACGGUGAAUACGUUCCCGGGCCUUGUACACACCGCCCGUCACACCAUGGGAGUGGGCUGCAAAAGAAGUGGGUAGUUUAACCUUCGGGAGAACGCUCACCACUUUAUGGUUCAUGACUGGGGUGAAGUCGUAACAAGGUAGCCCUAGGGGAACCUGGGGCUGGAUCACCUCCUU
rnacentral:rRNA from 1 species